rnacentral:rRNA from 1 species
AAUCAACGCUGGCGGCGUGCCUAACACAUGCAAGUCGAACGCGAAAGCCCCUUCGGGGGCAAGUAGAGUGGCGUCCGGGUGAGUAACACGUGGGUAAUCUACCUCCGGGUGGGGAAUAACUCGCCGAAAGGCGGGCUAAUACCGCAUAAUGCAGCGGCACCGAAUGGUGAUUAGUUGUUAAAGCGGGGGACCUUAGGGCCUCGCGUCUGGAGAGGAGCCUGCGGCAGAUUAGCUUGUUGGAGGGUAAUGGCCUACCAAGGCUGCGAUCUGUAGCUGGUCUGAGAGGACGGCCAGCCACACUGGCACUGACACACGGGCCAGACUCCUACGGGAGGCAGCAGUGGGGAAUUUUGGGCAAUGGGCGAAAGCCUGACCCAGCAACGCCGCGUGAAGGAGGAAAUCCUUCGGGAUGUAAACUUCACAAGCAAGGGAAGAGCGCGCAGGGUCGAAUAAACUCUGCGUCCGACGGUACCUUGCGUAAGCCACGGCUAACUACGUGCCAGCCGCCGCC